CUGAACAGAAGCCCAAAUGUGACUCGAACGGAGAAAACGAGGAGAGAGAUGAUGAAGGAAAUUCAAACUCAGGAGGAAAUUUUUCGAGCGCAAUUCUGAUCGUGGAAAAAAGGGAUUGAAGGAUUCAGAGACGAGGAAUCACAAGUUGGCUGAGAAGAGGGAGUGCUCCGUUGUCCGAUGCAUCUCCCAGGAAUUUGAAGAAUCCAUUGGAUUUCCCUCCGAUUUCUGGAUCUAUCUAUGAUUAUGAUGCCGAUGUGUGGCUCUGCAAAUCUUUUACUAGAGUGUUCUGCAAGGAUCAUGUUUAGAUAUGUGUAUAACUAUGUCCGAGAAAUUUCAUCUGAUUGAUCUAUCUCCAACUUCAACGAUCAAGAAUGUGGCAAGACACAUGGAUAUUUCUGUUGCUGAGUGAGUACGUUUAAUCGGGGGCUUGUCGGUUUCUCUGAACUCCUUGCGUGUUGAGGAAAGCAAAUUCCUUUUGCUGGACCACUUCUCCAUGGAAGGAACCGUUCAUGGACAGAUUGUUGAGUGAUAAUGUAAGUGAUUUUUUUUUUUUUUUUGCUUUUCUUGCCACUUUGAUGAAAUGGAUUUCCUUUUUCAAGAUGCAAUUUACCCACAUUACUUUAUAUUGCUUGGUGGAGUUAUACAGGGGUAUAUGUUACACUGAGUUGCCAUCAACAUCUCAGAUAACCUAAUUAUCGGCGUUUACAGUAGACGACAUAAGGUUGUGUAAACUGUAUAAACCUUUGAUAUUCACCUAAGCAAACAAUAUUUGGGUGGGUGAAUUAUGUAGAUCAGUGCUUUGGGAAGAGUCUCUAACAUUAUUCUCUAGCAAGGUAUACUCCCUUUGAAGAAGCCAAAUACAUGUUCUCAUGCACGAGGAGUUCAAUAUAACGGCAUACCUAAGGGAGGAAAAGGUCAUGUAAAUGCCUCGUUCACAGGUCUCUCUCUCUCUCUCUCACACAUCUUCAACUUUCAUAAAAACAACCAAAGAUUUGAAAUCGAAUCUAGUGGGUAUGCAUUCUAUUGUCGUGGUCUUUGUUCAGCGGUUGUCAGGAGCAAAGGAGGCAAUCUCCCUGCUAACUUUCAUAAUGCAUACUCAAAUGCCUCUUUAGACUUUAGAAACAAAAAUAUAAAAUCAAAUCAUAUAUGUUUUCGAGAGGUUCUUUUCUUC